rnacentral:rRNA from 1 species
GGCCAACGGGAGGCAGCAGUGAGGAAUAUUGGUCAAUGGGCGGGAGCCUGAACCAGCCAAGCCGCGUGAAGGAAGAAGGCGCCAAGCGUCGUAAACUUCUUUUGUCGGGGAACAAAGGGCGCCACGUGUGGCGUUGUGAGUGUACCCGAAGAAAAAGCAUCGGCUAACUCCGUGCCAGCAGCCGCGGUAAUACGUAGGGGGCGAGCGUUAUCCGGAUUCACUGGGUGUAAAGGGAGCGUAGACGGCCAAGCAAGCCAGGGGUGAAAGCGCGGGGCCCAACCCCGGGACUGCCCUUGGAACUGCAUGGCUGGAGUGCGGGAGGGGCAGGCGGAAUUCCUGGUGUAGCGGUGAAAUGCGUAGAUAUCAGGAGGAACACCGGUGGCGAAGGCGGCCUGCUGGACUGCGACUGACGUUGAGGCCCGAAAGCGUGGGGAGCAAACAGGAUUAGAUACCCGCGUA